GAUCAUGGCUCAGGAUGAACGCUAGCUACAGGCUUAACACAUGCAAGUCGAGGGGCAGCAUUUUAGUUUGCUUGCAAACUAAAGAUGGCGACCGGCGCACGGGUGAGUAACACGUAUCCAACCUGCCGAUAACUCGGGGAUAGCCUUUCGAAAGAAAGAUUAAUAUCCGAUAGUAUAUUAAAACCGCAUGGUUUUACUUAUUAAAGAAAUUUCGGUUAUUCGAUGGGGAGUGCGUUCCAUUAGUUUGUUUGGCGGGGUAACGGG
rnacentral:rRNA from 1 species